CUGUCUUCUAUGUGUUUUUAAAGCAUAUCUAGAUGAAAAGCCCUUACUACAAUACUCACAAACAUGAGGUCUCAGUUUUUCGUGAGUGAUUCGAACAUGGUUUAAUAAAUUGGUAUUGGUAAAGAAAGCUUUUCCACAAGUACUGCAUUUAAAGUUCCUUACACCUCCAUGAACCU